GAACUUCUUUUAUCGCACUGGAGAAAAUGUGUAUUUUUUUUAGCUCAGUAUCAUGGAUUCGCUUGGGUGUUAAGAAACUAGGGACCAAGCUUACAAAAAUGCCGCUCAAGUCACCUCAUGCAGCUUGCCAUUUGAUCCGUAUGGUUUGUAAACUUAUUAAAGAAGAACAAAGUGCUGGUGAAGAGGUGACGUCGCUAAUGGAUUACCUUUGAAUCGUGUCUUCGCCACAAGUCUGAAAUGGUGAUCUACGAGGCUGCUCACGCGAUUGCAAACCUUCGUCGAACUGGAUCUCGUGAAUUGGCUCCUGCUAUCGCCGUGUUGCAGCUCUUCUGCUCCUCACCUAAGCCUGCCUUACGCUUUGCUGCCGUUCGGACCCUAUUAUGAAAUGUGGCAAUGACGCACCCC